rnacentral:lncRNA from 1 species
UCAAAGUGCUGUACAGAAACCCAGCCUAAAACCCCAAACAGCAAGCAAAGCAUGUGAAAGAAGCACGGUGGCUAGGAAAAACUCCCUAGGAAAAACUCCCUAGAAAGGCCAAAAACCUAGGAAGAAACCUAGAGAGGAACCAGGCUAUGAGGGGUGGCCAGUCCUCUUCUGGCUGUGCAGGGUGGAUAUUAUAACAGAACAUGGUCAAGAUGUUAAAAUGUUAAAAUGUUCAUAAAUGACCAGCAUGGUCAAAUAAUAAUAAUCAUAGUAGUUGUCGAGGGUGCAACAAGCACGUCCGGUGAACAGGUCAGGGUUCCAUAGCCGCAGGCAGAACAGUUGAAACUGGAGCAGCAGCACGGCCAGGUGGACUGGGGACAGCAAGGAGUCAUCAUACCAGGUAGUCCUGAGGCAUGGUCCUAGGGCUCAGGUCCUCCGAGAGAGAGAAAGAGAGAAAGAGAGAAAGAGAGAGA